rnacentral:rRNA from 1 species
UACGUAGGUGGCAAGCGUUAUCCGGAUUUACUGGGUGUAAAGGGCGUGUAGGCGGGACUGCAAGUCAGAUGUGAAAACCACGGGCUCAACCUGUGGCCUGCAUUUGAAACUGUAGUUCUUGAGUACUGGAGAGGCAGACGGAAUUCCUAGUGUAGCGGUGAAAUGCGUAGAUAUAAGGAAGAACACCAGUGGCGAAGGCGGAUUACUGGACGAUAACUGACGGUGAGGCGCGAAAGCGUGGGGAGCAAACAGG